GGGCGCGAGUCGUCCACCAGAGAGGACUACAACCACCUCUCAUUGGACUUCAGCCCUGAGCGCACCUUGCAGAGCAGCCUAGCACUCACUUUCAAAGGUGAAAAGGUUGAAUUCAAAUGUGAGGGCUGUAAAGGACUCCACGCCACAAAGUUGGAGCUUUUCCACACACUGCCUCUUGUGCUGGUUCUGCAUCUGAAGAGGUUUGGAGGACCUGGGGGGUUGGAGAAGCUGGAGGCUCCUCUUUUGUUUCCUUCGGAGCUGAGGCUCUCCACCCUCUGUGGGGACAUGGUGCCACACCUGCACAGUGCCAGCCCACAGGCCCUCACCAACCUGGCCCCCAGCAUCCAGGGGUCCAUCCCCCAGACCCUCAAAAGCCAAGUCUCCAGCCCAGCUGGAGAGGCCAAAGACAGCACCCUCUGCUGUUCAGAUUCAAAUGACCAGGAACCAGGGAAAGUGUUGCUGACAGCCUCAGUGAAGCAGCAGCCAGUGAAGUCAGUGAAUGGAUACUACCAGCUGACUGGUGUAGUCUCUCAUUUGGAAGGCUCCGCAAACUCCGUGCACUACAUUAGUGACAUCUUGCAUGCCAGUGGAAACUGGUUCUGCUGUAACGACAGCCAGGUGUCAAUGUCCAAUGAAGCCACUGUGCUGAGGACCAGAGCCCGGAGUGCCUACAUGCUCUUCUAUAUGUUCAGGUACUGCUUACUCUCACCAUCUAUAUUCUUGUGUUGCUAUAUAUUUGUACGGUUCCUUUCACCCUACAGGGCAAGAGAGCGGGAGGCCCCAGCACACAGGGCCUAACAUGGCCACCUGCACCAGCCCCAGCCUAAACAGGGGCAGCACCUGGACCGGCCUCAACACACUCAGCUCAGCCUCAACAGGGUCAGCACCUGAACGAGCCUCAACAGGGUCAGCACUGGGCCCAACAUCAACAACCCCGAGCCCAGCCUCAACAGGGGCAGCACCUGGCCCAGCUUCAACACCCCCAGCCCAGCCUCAACACACUCACACCUGUCUCAACAGGGGCAACACCUGGCACAGUUUCAACACCCCCAGCCCAGCCUCAACACACUCACACCUGUCUCAACAGGGGCAACACCUGGCACAGCUUCAACACCCCCAGCCCAGCCUCAACAUGGGAAGAACCAGGCCCAGUCUCAACAUGGACAAAACAAGACCCAGCCCCAACACCCUCAGCCCUGCCUCAACAGGUGCAGCACUCAGCCCAACUUUAAUCAUGGGGCUCAAGGGAGACUUGCUCUUCAUCACUAGCAUGAACAUUCUUUCAGUAGCUUAUGUCAUAAAUGCCUGCCCUUGAUUUGACUACUUCACCUAAUGUAUAAAGCUCAUGUAAAAAAACAUAUAAAGUAUACACACUAAAUGUAGUACACAUGUAAAUGUGGUGGAUAGAGUGUGUGAUUAUUUAGAGGGUAUAACAUCCCUUCUAUUUGGUUUGGUUUGAAAUCCUCCUGUUGUGAAAUACACUGUGGUGUAUAACUUCUUAUUCAGCAUGGUCAGACUGGAUGACCUGCAAUAUUCAACAUUGAUCCAGGUCCCCAGCAUGUCGGGAG
rnacentral:lncRNA from 1 species